CCCAUCAGAUCCUGACGCUGAUAUUAUACACUCAUUUCCUUAGUACGAGUUUUGCAUAAGGACCAUUUUCGUCAGAGCAAAGGAAGCUUCAUGGAAGAAGCCAAAAAAGAGAAAUUAUCAUAUGAUACAUUACAAAUCUGGUUUGGGUUUAUGUUAUUUAAGGAAUUGAAGGGCCGAAGCUCUUACAAACUACUAACGAUUUCUGAUCUCCACCUUGGCAAAAGAAAAAGGUGUCAGGGCACCUGUAUAAACAAUUAUCCACCAGGCUAACAUUAGCUGAACCCGGCUUUAGACCCAUCAGUGGACUCGGGAUAGGACCGAACAAGUAGUUCCCCCCCAAUAACAGCCUCUCAAACGACGACGUAUGAGCCCUGGGAACAGCCGCUUUCAGAGCAUACUGGGUAGGUAUCAUUCCUGUAAACAUGUUGUGCUCUAAACUUAAAGCAGACAACUUUGGCAUCGAACCAAGGAAAGCUGGCAAGAGACCUCGAAGAUCAUUAUUGCUUAAAUCGAGAGCUAUUAGUUUACUUGUGAAACCCAUUGUUCCUGGCGUUUGCAAGAAUGUGAAGUUGUUGUAGGAGAGAGUAAGUUGUUGAAGAGAUGGGUGGUCAAACAAAACUGAUAAUAUAGGCCCAGAUAAUUGGUUGUGGCUGAGAUCUAAAACCUGUAAAUACUCCAAAUCGCCCACAUUAUCGGGUAGAUUUCCUUUUAAGUCGUUGUUUCGCAUCGACAGCUCGACAAGAGACAUUGGCAAUGCGGAAGGAACUUGCUCAGAGAAUUGGUUAUCGCUAGCAUCGAGAAUGUACAAGUCUUUUAGGGAGCGCAGAUCAGGAAACUCACCGGAGAAAUUGUUUUCUUGGAUUUCGAGUCUUUUUAAGUUUACAAGAGAAUUGAAGCUUGAUGGUAGAGGUCCUUGGAGAUGAUUGCCAUCAAGAUAGAGCUCUUCGAGGUGGGAGAGAGACCCAAGCGAGACAGGUAACUUGCCGGAGAGAGAGUUCUUGGAGAGACUCAGCCGACGAAGGCGAGUGAGCUUGGCCAGAGAGUCAGGGACUGAGCCAGAGAAUGCAUUGUCAGAUAUAUCAAGGGUUUGUAAGUAAGGGAGGUCCCAAGGGACAGAAGAAAGCGAACCAGAGUAACCCACGGGGUCGAAGGUGAUCUCGGUGACUCGAAAUGAGCCGGAGACAACACGGUCGCACCUUAGACCGCAUGUGAAUUUGUCGCUGAAGAUGUGAUCGCAUGGGUCGAAUGAGAAGUCCCAAGAGCUUAGGCAAGAUCCAGGAGCUACGGACUUGGAGUCCAGCCCAUUCUUUAGAUCCUUGAGCACUCGAAUGUCUCCAGGGCAGGUCCUUGAAUCAACCACUCCAAGCAACAGUUCCAGAAAUGUAAAGAUAAAGGGCAGAGAGAGAUUGGCAAUGGAAUUGCGUUUUGACAUUUUUAGGACUGAUGGUAGAAGCGAGCAGCGAGAGGACAUAUUGGAUCUGCACUUAUUGAAGUAGCGCAGGGAAGCAGCUGGUGUAAGUUUUUAAUUUCUUGUAGAUGAUUCCAGGUAAUAAAAUAUAAAUUUCAUUUCCCU
rnacentral:misc_RNA from 1 species